GACGAACGCUGGCGGCGUGCUUAACACAUGCAAGUCGAACGGAAAGGCCCUGCUUUUGUGGGGUGCUCGAGUGGCGAACGGGUGAGUAACACGUGAGUAACCUGCCCUUGACUUUGGGAUAACUUCAGGAAACUGGGGCUAAUACCGGAUAGGAGCUCCUGCUGCAUGGUGGGGGUUGGAAAGUUUCGGCGGUUGGGGAUGGACUCGCGGCUUAUCAGCUUGUUGGUGGGGUAGUGGCUUACCAAGGCUUUGACGGGUAGCCGGCCUGAGAGGGUGACCGGCCACAUUGGGACUGAGAUACGGCCCAGACUCCUACGGGAGGCAGCAGUGGGGAAUAUUGCACAAUGGGCGGAAGCCUGAUGCAGCAACGCCGCGUGCGGGAUGACGGCCUUCGGGUUGUAAACCGCUUUCGCCUGUGACGAAGCGUGAGUGACGGUAAUGGGUAAAGAAGCACCGGCUAACUACGUGCCAGCAGCCGCGGUGAUACGUAGGGUGCGAGCGUUGUCCGGAUUUAUUGGGCGUAAAGGGCUCGUAGGUGGUUGAUCGCGUCGGAAGUGUAAUCUUGGGGCUUAACCCUGAGCGUGCUUUCGAUACGGGUUGACUUGAGGAAGGUAGGGGAGAAUGGAAUUCCUGGUGGAGCGGUGGAAUGCGCAGAUAUCAGGAGGAACACCAGUGGCGAAGGCGGUUCUCUGGGCCUUUCCUGACGCUGAGGAGCGAAAGCGUGGGGAGCGAACAGGCUUAGAUACCCUGGUAGUCCACGCUGUAAACGGUGGGUACUAGGUGUGGGGUCCAUUCCACGGGUUCCGUGCCGUAGCUAACGCUUUAAGUACCCCGCCUGGGGAGUACGGCCGCAAGGCUAAAACUCAAAGGAAUUGACGGGGCCCCGCACAAGCGGCGGAGCAUGCGGAUUAAUUCGAUGCAACGCGUAGAACCUUACCUGGGUUUGACAUGGAUCGGGAGUGCUCAGAGAUGGGUGUGCCUCUUUUGGGGUCGGUUCACAGGUGGUGCAUGCCUGUCGUCAGCUCGUGUCGUGAGAUGUUGGGUUAAGUCCCGCAACGAGCGCAACCCUUGUUCACUGUUGCCAGCACGUUAUGGUGGGGACUCAGUGGAGACCGCCGGGGUCAACUCGGAGGAAGGUGGGGAUGACGUCAAGUCAUCAUGCCCCUUAUGUCCAGGGCUUCACGCAUGCUACAAUGGCUGGUACAGAGAGUGGCGAGCCUGUGAGGGUGAGCGAAUCUCGGAAAGCCGGUCUCAGUUCGGAUUGGGGUCUGCAACUCGACCUCAUGAAGUCGGAGUCGCUAGUAAUCGCAGAUCAGCAACGCUGCGGUGAAUACGUCCCCGGGGCU
rnacentral:rRNA from 1 species